GCUUCGGCAGAGCAUACACUAAGACUGGAACAGGCUGAAAGAUUAGCAUGGGCUCUGCAUAAGGUUGACACACACAUUCAAAGCCAUCCAUAUUGUU
ensembl:snRNA U6 U6 spliceosomal RNA